CCCUUGAUAGCUUAAUUGGAAGAGCAGAGGAGCAUUAAUCCUUAGUUUGCUGGUUCAGUUCCAGCUGGAGGGG